UGAAGGUGUUGUGUGCCAUUAUACCCCAUAGGAAUUGAUGAUGAGGAAGCGCCUGAACCCCCAACAGGAAAUUGGAUCGGCUGAGAAGCCGAAUGCAAAUAACCCUGGUUUGGUGGAAUCGGCUGAGUAUAUGCCGGUCCCUUGUAUCCUUGAGGUACCCCGCUAGCAAAGGAGCUGAUGACGGCAUUGUACACCGUAUUUGCAAGCACCGGGGAUUGAUCAAUGAAGGCGUGAUAAACGGACUGUUGGACCAUCUCGGCCAUUUUGUCCGAGUCCUCGGUGAUUGUGAUCUGGCGGGGAGUUGGAAACGGAGACUUUUUGAUAGCCUCCCCGCUUCU
rnacentral:lncRNA from 1 species